rnacentral:rRNA from 1 species
CGAAGGGGGCUAGCGUUGCUCGGAAUCACUGGGCGUAAAGCGCACGUAGGCGGAUUGUUAAGUCAGGGGUGAAAUCCUGGAGCUCAACUCCAGAACUGCCUUUGAUACUGGCGAUCUUGAGUCCGGGAGAGGUGAGUGGAACUGCGAGUGUAGAGGUGAAAUUCGUAGAUAUUCGCAAGAACACCAGUGGCGAAGGCGGCUCACUGGCCCGGUACUGACGCUGAGGUGCGAAAGCGUGGGGAGCAAACAGG